AGAGUUUGAUCCUGGCUCAGGAUGAACGCUGGCGGCGUGCUUAACACAUGCAAGUCGAACGAGCCUUCGGGCUAGUGGCGGACGGGUGAGUAACGCGUGGGAAUCUGCCCUCAGGAGGGGGAUAACGGCCGGAAACGGCCGCUAAUACCCCAUAUGCCGAGAGGUGAAACGAGUUUUCGCCUGAGGAUGAGCCCGCGUCUGAUUAGCUAGUUGGUGUGGUAAUGGCGCACCAAGGCUUCGAUCAGUAGCUGGUCUGAGAGGAUGAUCAGCCACACUGGGACUGAGACACGGCCCAGACUCCUACGGGAGGCAGCAGUGGGGAAUUUUCCGCAAUGGGCGCAAGCCUGACGGAGCAACGCCGCGUGAGGGACGAAGGCCUCUGGGCUGUAAACCUCUUUUCUCAAGGAAGAAGACAUGACGGUACUUGAGGAAUAAGCCACGGCUAAUUCCGUGCCAGCAGCCGCGGUAAUACGGGAGUGGCAAGCGUUAUCCGGAAUUAUUGGGCGUAAAGCGUCCGCAGGCGGCCCAGCAAGUCUGUUGUUAAAAAGUGGAGCUCAACUCCAUCCAGGCAAUGGAAACUGCUGGGCUAGAGUGUGGUAGGGGCAGAGGGAAUUCCCGGUGUAGCGGUGAAAUGCGUAGAUAUCGGGAAGAACACCAGUGGCGAAGGCGCUCUGCUGGGCCAUAACUGACGCUCAUGGACGAAAGCCAGGGGAGCGAAAGGGAUUAGAUACCCCUGUAGUCCUGGCCGUAAACGAUGAACACUAGGUGUCGGGGGAAUCGACCCCCUCGGUGUCGUAGCCAACGCGUUAAGUGUUCCACCUGGGGAGUACGCACGCAAGUGUGAAACUCAAAGGAAUUGACGGGGGCCCGCACAAGCGGUGGAGUAUGUGGUUUAAUUCGAUGCAACGCGAAGAACCUUACCAGGGUUUGACAUCCUGCGAAUCCCUUGGAAACUUGGGAGUGCCUUCGGGAGCGCAGUGACAGGUGGUGCAUGGCUGUCGUCAGCUCGUGUCGUGAGAUGUUGGGUUAAGUCCCGCAACGAGCGCAACCCACGUCUUUAGUUGCCAGCAUUUAGUUGGGCACUCUAGAGAGACCGCCGGUGAUAAACCGGAGGAAGGUGUGGAUGACGUCAAGUCAUCAUGCCCCUUACAUCCUGGGCUACACACGUACUACAAUGCUACGGACAAAGGGCAGCAAACUCGCGAGAGCUAGCAAAUCCCAUAAACCGUGGCUCAGUUCAGAUCGUAGGCUGCAACUCGCCUACGUGAAGGAGGAAUCGCUAGUAAUCGCAGGUCAGCAUACUGCGGUGAAUACGUUCCCGGGCCUUGUACACACCGCCCGUCACACCAUGGAAGUUGGCCAUGCCCGAAGUCGUUACUCCAACCCGUAAGGGAGGAGGACGCCGAAGGUGGGGCUGAUGACUGGGGUGAAGUCGUAACAAGGUA
rnacentral:rRNA from 1 species